rnacentral:rRNA from 1 species
CAAUAGCGUAUAUUUAAGUUGCUGCAGUUAAAAAGCUCGUAGUUGGAUUUCGGGUGGGAAUGGCCGGUCCGCCGUUUCGGUGUGCACUUGCUACGCCCACCUUGCUGCCGGGGACGUGCUCUUGAGUUCACGCUCGGGACACGGAGUCGGCGAGGUUACUUUGAGUAAAUUAGAGUGUUCAAAGCAGGCCUACGCUCUGAAUACAUUAGCAUGGAAUAACACGAUAGGACUCUGGCCUAUCUUGUUGGUCUGUAGGACCGGAGUAAUGAUUAAGAGGGACAGUCGGGGGCAUUCGUAUUUCAUUGUCAGAGGUGAAAUUCUUGGAUUCAUGAAAGACGAACUACUGCGAAAGCAUUUGCCAAGGAUGUUUUCAUUAA